UACGGAGGAUGCAAGCGUUAUCCGGAAUGAUUGGGCGUAAAGCGUCCGCAGGUGGCUAUGUAAGUCUGCUGUUAAAGAGUGAGGCUCAACCUCAUAAAAGCAGUGGAAACUACAUGGCUAGAGUGCGUUCGGGGCAGAGGGAAUUCCUGGUGUAGCGGUGAAAUGCGCAGAUAUCAGGAAGAACACCCGUGGCGAAGGCGGCUCUCUGGGACGGUACUGACGCUGAGACGCGAAAGCGUGGGGAGCGAACAGG
rnacentral:rRNA from 1 species